GGGAUCCAGGAUUUCCAGGGGAUCCUGGCGUACCUGCUGAACCAACUGGUCCAAUUGGUCCUGGUACUCCUGGUAGUCCAGCUGGUCUUUGGAUGUUAGUAAUUUUUCCUGGCGCUCCAGGCACUCCGGCAUUUCCGGAUUGACCGUCUUUUCCGCCUAAUCCUGGGGCUCCUGGUCCACCGGCGAAACCAUUGUUUCCUGGAGCUCCUGGCUGACCGUCGAACCCUGGGUUUCCGUUUGGUCCCUUUGGUCCAAUUGAUCCAGCUGGACCUGGAGGCCCUGGUGGGCAGUCAAAGCAGAAAUCGCUUGCUGAAGCUUGUGUGGCAGGACGACCAUCAGGACCAUUAGUUCCUGGAGCUCCGGGUCGUCCGUUUGAUCCCUCUUGUCCAUCGGGUCCUGGAGAUCCGGGCGGGCCAGCGGCAGAUGUUCCACAUCCGCAACAUCCUCC
ensembl:ncRNA T10E10.8 ncRNA